CCUGGCUCAGAUUGAACGCUGGCGGCAGGCUUAACACAUGCAAGUCGAGCGGGGGAGGUUGCUUCGGUANCUGACCUAGCGGCGGACGGGUGAGUAAUACUUAGGAAUCUGCCUAUUAAUGGGGGUCAACAUCUCGAAAGGGAUGCUAAUACCGCAUACGCCCUACGGGGGAAAGCAGGGGAUCACUUGUGACCUUGCGUUAAUAGAUGAGCCUAAGUCGGAUUAGCUAGUUGGUGGGGUAAAGGCCUACCAAGGCGACGAUCUGUAGCGGGUCUGAGAGGAUGAUCCGCCACACUGGGACUGAGACACGGCCCAGACUCCUACGGGAGGCAGCAGUGGGGAAUAUUGGACAAUGGGGGGAACCCUGAUCCAGCCAUGCCGCGUGUGUGAAGAAGGCCUUAUGGUUGUAAAGCACUUUAAGCGAGGAGGAGGCUCUUCUAGUUAAUACCUAGGAUGAGUAAAGUUACCGCUGG
rnacentral:rRNA from 1 species